rnacentral:lncRNA from 1 species
AAUAGAAUCAAGUCUAUCAAUAAAAGUACACUUGAAUAUCAUUUUUGAUCAUUUUCCAAUAGACCACACCACAAGAAACGAAUAGAAAGAAAUCAAUAUCCAAUCACAUCGAAAAUUGACGAAACCUAAACCUGAAAACAAUAAAAAAAUAAAUCAAAGAGAUUAUACUGUAUGACUGCUCAAAUCCGCAACAGGCAAACAAAUAUAUAUCGACACCAUCGAUACAUAAUCUGAGAAACUAAGAUCGAUCUGAAAAAAGAUUGAUCAUGAAUGAAGAACAAGAAAAAAAUAAAUAAAUAAAAGAAAGUGUGGAAAAUGUGGAGUAGACGGAGGAUAAGAAUUGAGGCCAAAAUG